rnacentral:rRNA from 8 species
CCAAACCAACAAGCUUGCUUGUUGGGGUUGUAGGACACUCUAUACGGAGUUACAAAGGACGACAUUAGACGAAUCAUCUGGAAAGAUGAAUCAAAGAAGGUAAUAAUCCUGUAGUCGAAAAUGUUGUCUCUCUUGAGUGGAUCCUGAGUACGACGGAGCACGUGAAAUUCCGUCGGAAUCUGGGAGGACCAUCUCCUAAGGCUAAAUACUCUCUAGUGACCGAUAGUGAACCAGUACCGUGAGGGAAAGGUGAAAAGCACCCCGGAAGGGGAGUGAAAUAGAACCUGAAACCGUGUGCUUACAAGUAGUCAGAGCCCGUUAAUGGGUGAUGGCGUGCCUUUUGUAGAAUGAACCGGCGAGUUACGAUUUGAUGCAAGGUUAAGCAGUAAAUGUGGAGCCGUAGCGAAAGCGAGUCUGAAUAGGGCGUUUAGUAUUUGGUCGUAGACCCGAAACCAGGUGAUCUACCCUUGGUCAGGUUGAAGUUCAGGUAACACUGAAUGGAGGACCGAACCGACUUACGUUGAAAAGUGAGCGGAUGAACUGAGGGUAGCGGAGAAAUUCCAAUCGAACCUGGAGAUAGCUGGUUCUCUCCGAAAUAGCUUUAGGGCUAGCCUCAAGUGAUGAUUAUUGGAGGUAGAGCACUGUUUGGACGAGGGGCCCCUCUCGGGUUACCGAAUUCAGACAAACUCCGAAUGCCAAUUAAUUUAACUUGGGAGUCAGAACAUGGGUGAUAAGGUCCGUGUUCGAAAGGGAAACAGCCCAGACCACCAGCUAAGGUCCCAAAAUAUAUGUUAAGUGGAAAAGGAUGUGGCGUUGCCCAGACAACUAGGAUGUUGGCUUAGAAGCAGCCAUCAUUUAAAGAGUGCGUAAUAGCUCACUAGUCGAGUGACACUGCGCCGAAAAUGUACCGGGGCUAAACAUAUUACCGAAGCUGUGGAUUGUCCUUUGGACAAUGGUAGGAGAGCGUUCUAAGGGCGUUGAAGCAUGAUCGUAAGGACAUGUGGAGCGCUUAGAAGUGAGAAUGCCGGUGUGAGUAGCGAAAGACGGGUGAGAAUCCCGUCCACCGAUUGACUAAGGUUUCCAGAGGAAGGCUCGUCCGCUCUGGGUUAGUCGGGUCCUAAGCUGAGGCCGACAGGCGUAGGCGAUGGAUAACAGGUUGAUAUUCCUGUACCACCUAUAAUCGUUUUAAUCGAUGGGGGGACGCAGUAGGAUAGGCGAAGCGUGCGAUUGGAUUGCACGUCUAAGCAGUAAGGCUGAGUAUUAGGCAAAUCCGGUACUCGUUAAGGCUGAGCUGUGAUGGGGAGAAGACAUUGUGUCUUCGAGUCGUUGAUUUCACACUGCCGAGAAAAGCCUCUAGAUAGAAAAUAGGUGCCCGUACCGCAAACCGACACAGGUAGUCAAGAUGAGAAUUCUAAGGUGAGCGAGCGAACUCUCGUUAAGGAACUCGGCAAAAUGACCCCGUAACUUCGGGAGAAGGGGUGCUCUUUAGGGUUAACGCCCAGAAGAGCCGCAGUGAAUAGGCCCAAGCGACUGUUUAUCAAAAACACAGGUCUCUGCUAAACCGUAAGGUGAUGUAUAGGGGCUGACGCCUGCCCGGUGCUGGAAGGUUAAGAGGAGUGGUUAGCUUCUGCGAAGCUACGAAUCGAAGCCCCAGUAAACGGCGGCCGUAACUAUAACGGUCCUAAGGUAGCGAAAUUCCUUGUCGGGUAAGUUCCGACCCGCACGAAAGGCGUAACGAUUUGGGCACUGUCUCAACGAGAGACUCGGUGAAAUCAUAGUACCUGUGAAGAUGCAGGUUACCCGCGACAGGACGGAAAGACCCCGUGGAGCUUUACUGUAGCCUGAUAUUGAAAUUCGGCACAGCUUGUACAGGAUAGGUAGGAGCCUUUGAAACGUGAGCGCUAGCUUACGUGGAGGCGCUGGUGGGAUACUACCCUAGCUGUGUUGGCUUUCUAACCCGCACCACUUAUCGUGGUGGGAGACAGUGUCAGGCGGGCAGUUUGACUGGGGCGGUCGCCUCCUAAAAGGUAACGGAGGCGCUCAAAGGUUCCCUCAGAAUGGUUGGAAAUCAUUCAUAGAGUGUAAAGGCAUAAGGGAGCUUGACUGCGAGACCUACAAGUCGAGCAGGGUCGAAAGACGGACUUAGUGAUCCGGUGGUUCCGCAUGGAAGGGCCAUCGCUCAACGGAUAAAAGCUACCCCGGGGAUAACAGGCUUAUCUCCCCCAAGAGUUCACAUCGACGGGGAGGUUUGGCACCUCGAUGUCGGCUCAUCGCAUCCUGGGGCUGUAGUCGGUCCCAAGGGUUGGGCUGUUCGCCCAUUAAAGCGGUACGCGAGCUGGGUUCAGAACGUCGUGAGACAGUUCGGUCCCUAUCCGUCGUGGGCGUAGGAAAUUUGAGAGGAGCUGUCCUUAGUACGAGAGGACCGGGAUGGACAUACCUCUGGUGUACCAGUUGUCGUGCCAACGGCAUAGCUGGGUAGCUAUGUGUGGACGGGAUAAGUGCUGAAAGCAUCUAAGCAUGAAGCCCCCCUCAAGAUGAGAUUUCCCAACUUCGGUUAUAAGAUCCCUCAAAGAUGAUGAGGUUAAUAGGUUCGAGGUGGAAGCAUGGUGACAUGUGGAGCUGACGAAUACUAAUCGAUCGAAGACUUAAUCAA